CUGCAUCGGAGAAGGAAAUCACCUCUUCACCUGGAGCCAAGAAAAGCCUAUGGCUGCUGUCAAUAGCCGGCUGGCUCCAAGGCAGGAUGGCAUAGCAGAGGGGCGUGGUAGAGGAGAAGUGGAGAGCUUGUGAAGGGCGGAGCUGGAAGAUGGACCCUUGCAGGCCACGCCCCCAGUGUCCCAUCUCCUCCAACCAGGCUUCACCUCCCAACUUUACAUUUAGCCAUAAACUCAUCAGUGGACCAAUCUCUUGGGAGCAUCACGCCUACUAUGAUCCGGUCGCCUCCUAAAAGCCUCAGCGAUGAGUACUUGAAGCAUUAGGUGGACUCUAGGUAUAAACCGUAACUGUCUCCAUGGUCAUUUUUGACUGAGAAAGAGGCAGAAGUUGCAGGGUGCCUGAUCUGAUCCCAUAAGACAGUAGAGAAGAGAGACAUGCAUACCUUGGAAAAGUCAAAGAGAUCUUCACCAAAAAAGAAGAUUUUAUGUAGCACCUACAGGAAGGACACAUAUUAUUAGAUGGUGCUAAAGAAAGGCCAUUUAUGAUCAGAGAAACAACGUCAGCAAGGUCCUCGAAAUAAGGUGCGUUAGACAAGCAGGACCAGCAUGUGAGAGGACAGGAAUGUUGCCCAGUCAAACUAAGUUGGAGCAGACCAAACUUCUAGAACAAGAGCCUUUGGGGGAGGAGCAAUAUGUAGCCGACAUCAGAGGCUAAGCAGCUCUGAGACCCUUCUGUCUGAGGACUGAAAACAGCUGGAGAUUUCAGCGCAAUGGGCAGCUGCCCGAGGCAGAAACACGACGGUGGAAUUGUGUGCGGGGAAAAGCUGCUCACUUUGGGGACAAGAAGCAGCAAGGGAGAGAAGGAGCUGCGGACAAGAGUGCACCUUCCAGGGCACACCCCGGGGCCCACCUUCCCACCAGCCCCACCUUCUAACAGCACGUUCAGCUAGGGAUGGAUUAAUCCACAGAUGAGCUGAGCCCUCUCCUGAUCCACCAUCUUCCCAAAGCCCCCCUCGAAUCAUUGCUUUAUUUGGGACCAAGUCCCCUAUAGCAUCUCAUGAGACCACCCAAGGCUCUGUCACAACGGUGUCAUAGCCAGGCGCUUCUGCUCAGACGCCUCUUCCUUCCUUCUCAGACAUCGCUGCCCAAAGCAAUUUCUAGUAAACCAUCUGCAUGAAAACCUUCAUCUCACCAGAUUCUCUCAGGAACAUGACUACAGGGAAU